rnacentral:rRNA from 1 species
UAAGGAAUAUUGGACAAUGGGCGCAAGCCUGAUUCAGCCAUUCCGCGUGAAGGAUGAAUGUCCUCUGGAUUGUAAACUUCUUUUAUUUGGGACGAAAAAAGAGCAUUCUUGCUCACUUGACGGUACCAAGUGCAUAAGCACCGGCUACCUCCGUGCCAGCAGCCGCGGUAAUACGGAGGGUGCAAGCGUUAUCCGGAUUCCGUGGGUUUAAAGGGUGCGUAGGCGGGUAGGUAAGUCAGUGGUGAAUUCUCGGAGCUUAACUCCGAAACUGCCAUUGAUGCUAUCUAUCUUAAAUAUUGUUGAGGUAUGCGGAAUAUGUCAUGUAGCGGUAAAAUGCAUAGAUAUGACAGAGAAAACCAAGUGCGAGGGCAGCAGGCUAAACAUAGAUUGACGCUGAGGCAAGAAAGCGUGGGGAUAAAACAGG